UACAGAGGUCUCAAGCGUUGUUCGGAUUCAUUGGGCGUAAAGGGUGCGUAGGUGGCGCCGUAAGUCAGGUGUGAAAUUUCGGAGCUUAACUCCGAAACUGCAUUUGAUACUGCGGUGCUUGAGGACUGGAGAGGAGACUGGAAUUUACGGUGUAGCAGUGAAAUGCGUAGAGAUCGUAAGGAAGACCAGUGGCGAAGGCGGGUCUCUGGACAGUUCCUGACACUGAGGCACGAAGGCCAGAGGAGCAAACGGG
rnacentral:rRNA from 1 species